rnacentral:lncRNA from 1 species
AUGGCUCGGCAGAAGGCCGGGGAAGCUAGAGUGGUCCUUUCGCACACCCUAGAGGCGGAGGCGUGGCCAGGGAAGGCUGGAGGCGGCGAGCGCCAUGGCCGGUGUUGGCGGUUCGGGACGACGACGGCUAGCGCGCUACGAUCGACAGCAAUUCGAUUCCUUCCUAGGCGAGGGUCUAGGGACUACGAGAAUCCUUACCCGUGUGUGGUUGGAGUGGAGACGGUCCGAGGCGGCGUGGCGACGAGCUCCCUAGGCGGUCGGCGGCGAAAUUGGUGGCGGCAGCUCUCCGGUCGAGGGGAAUCGAGAGGGAACUCAUCGAGGCCACGGCUCGAUGGUGUGGGUUCGGCGGCGGCGCUCUGUUCGGCCGGCGCGGGGCGCGACGGUGGCGCGGCCGUUCCCAGCGAAUCAGAGGGUUUAGGUCUUCGGCUUUGGGAGUGGAGGUUGAGGGUGGUGUGGAGAGUUAGCUGGCGCGAGGGUUCGAUUUAUGCGCGAGGAAGGAGCGAGAGGCAAGUGCGGGGAAUUGUCGCGAAGUGCUCGGCGUCUCUCGCGCGCGCAGGCGGUGGUCGGCGGGGAACACGGCUUGCAGCAGGCGCCGGCUUUGCGCAGGGAUUGCAGAGGGGGUACAGGGAUAGUUACGGGGAGCCAGGGGCGGUCGGUCUCGCCUUGUCGCUUCGUGCGUCGGCUUUGGCAGGGGGCGGCGGCUCCGGGUUGGCGAGGCGCGCGGCGAGGCCGGCUUUGCCAGGCGCGGCAUCGGCGGUGCAGACGCGAGUCAGAGGGCUUUGCAGACGGAGGCAACGGCAUCGGCUUUGCGCAGGGAGGAGGCAGAGGAGGAAGGCUGCGUCGGUCUGGCUUGGUCGGCAUCGGGCAGAGGGCCACGGUGUUGGAUUGGCCACGGCGGCUGCGGUGGUCGGAGCCUGGGCGUGGCAGGGAAUCGGCAGGGACGGCGUCCGCUUUAUGCAGCCUUGGCACAGCGGGAUUCGUGGGCAGAGGGUGGCGCAGUGUCACGUCGCGUCGUUGCUCGGGCAGAGAGAGAGAGGGAGAGCAAGAGAGCGGCAGCUCCAGCAGGGGCGGAUCUAUAGUGUUAGCAUCGGUGUCAGGCGACACCGAUGACUUUCGGCAA